rnacentral:rRNA from 1 species
UUUGCAUAUCAAAUAGCGGAGGAAAAGAAACUAACAAGGAUUCCCCUAGUAACGGCGAGUGAAGAGGGAAGAGCCCAAGAUUGAAAGCUGGCGUCUUCGGCGUCCGCAUUGUAAUCUCAAGAAGUGUUUUCCGCUUCGGACCAAGCCUAAGUCCCCUGGAAAGGGGCAUCAUAGAGGGUGAUAAUCCCGUACAUGGCUUGGAGCGCCCGAGGCUUUGUGAUACGCUUUCUAAGAGUCGAGUUGUUUGGGAAUGCAGCUCAAAAUGGGUGGUAAAUGCCAUCUAAGGCUAAAUAUUGGGGAGAGACCGAUAGCGAACAAGUACAGUGAUGGAAAGAUGAAAAGAACUUUGAAAAGAGAGUUAAACAGUACGUGAAAUUGCCAAAAGGGAAGGGUAGGAGGUCAGAGAUGCGGCCUGGGAUUCAGCCUUGCUUUUGCUUGGUGUUUUUCCCAGAUUGCAGGCCAACGUCGGUUUUGGGCACUGGAGAAGGGUAGGAGGAACGUGGCACCUCUCGGGGUGUGUUAUAGCCUCCUACUGGAUACAGCGACCGAGACCGAGGACAGCAGCGUACUCGCAAGAGCGGGCCUUCGGGCACCUUUACGCUUAGGGCGUUGGCAUAAUGGCCCUCUACCAC